GCAUAUCAAUAAGCGGAGGAAAAGAAACCAACAGGGAUUGCCCUAGUAACGGCGAGUGAAGCGGCAACAGCUCAAAUUUGAAAUCUGGCCCUCGGGUCCGAGUUGUAAUUUGUAGAGGAUGUUUUUGGUGAGGUACCUUCCGAGUUCCCUGGAACGGGACGCCAUAGAGGGUGAGAGCCCCGUCUGGUUGGAUACCGAUCCUCUGUAAAACUCCUUCAACGAGUCGAGUAGUUUGGGAAUGCUGCUCUAAAUGGGAGGUAUAUGUCUUCUAAAGCUAAAUAUUGGCCAGAGACCGAUAGCGCACAAGUAGAGUGAUCGAAAGAUGAAAAGCACUUUGAAAAGAGAGUUAAAAAGUACGUGAAAUUGUUGAAAGGGAAGCGCUUAUGACCAGACUUGGACUUGGUUGAUCAUCCUGGGUUCUCCCUGGUGCACUCUUCCAGUUCAGGCCAGCAUCAGUUCGUCGCGGGGGAUAAAGGCUUCGGGAAUGUGGCUCCCUCGGGAGUGUUAUAGCCCGUUGUGUAAUACCCUGCUUUGGACUGAGGUUCGCGCAUCUGCAAGGAUGCUGGCGUAAUGGUCAUCAGCGACCCGUCUUGAAACACGGACCAAGGAGUCGUCUUCGUAUGCGAGUGUUCGGGUGUUAAACCCCUACGCGUAAUGAAAGUGAACGCAGGUGAGAGCUUCGGCGCAUCAUCGACCGAUCCUGAUGUUCUCGGAUGGAUUUGAGUAAGAGCAUACGGGGCCGGACCCGAAAGAAGGUGAACUAUGCUUGUAUAGGGUGAAGCCAGAGGAAACUCUGGUGGAGGCUCGCAGCGGUUCUGACGUGCAAAUCGAUCGUCAAAUAUGAGCAUGGGGGCGAAAGACUAAUCGAACCUUCUAGUAGCUGGUUUCCGCCG
rnacentral:rRNA from 1 species